rnacentral:lncRNA from 1 species
GAGAUGGCUCCCUUCCUGGAAUGGGCUCUGAGCCCAGCCCAAAGGCCAAGGGCCGAACUAAAAUGACCUCCCUCUUAAGCCCACAGGCCCCAGCCAGCUCUGCAGGCAGGCGAAGGUGUGGAGGAUCCCUCUCCUGAGCAGAAAUGAAUCCUCGGAGGAGACACAGCUGACCUGGGACCUUUCAGAGGGCUGAAGGACAGAGCCUCCUUUUGCCUCACCAGACCCGACUUGGGUGAGGUCAGAAGAUUCAGACAACAGCAGGGAGGGCCGUGGCCAUGGAAACCUGGGUUUCAGUGCUGGAAGAGAGAGAUGUGAAAGGCCAUCUACAAAGAUGUGGAGAAUGGGGACGAGAAGAAAAGGAGGAGAUGACCUCUGGAUUCUGGACAGCCCAGGCCAAGGUGAGUUGGGUUUCUCUUUCUUCUGACAGUGUAGACAUGUUCUCUAAAUCAUCUCUGCCCAACC